CACCAAACGUUUGCGCCGCCCGAGGUGAGGAGGCGCGCCGAAGUGACUUGGUUCUAUCGCGGCGCUGGGGAUUCCUACCGGCUGGUGGGGCCGCGGCGGUUAGGCUCAUCAGAGAAUGCAACUGUCUCUUACCUACCUAUGACUUGGAACCCUCCUCCCCACUUGGAGUCGUCCUGCCUUUCCAGCUCAAACCAAUGUUUAUCUUACAUGUAUUGAUUGCUGUCCCAUGUCUCCCUAAAAUUUAAAUAAACUUUCUGAGUUGAUUGGGA